UAGUGGCGGACGGGUGAGUAACACGUGAGCAACCUGCCUAUCAGAGGGGGACAACAGUUGGAAACGACUGCUAAUACCGCAUAAAGUUGACGGAAGGCAUCUUCUGUCAACCAAAGAUUUAUCACUGAUAGAUGGGCUCGCGCCCGAUUAGAUAGUUGGUGAGGUAACGGCCCACCAAGUCGACGAUCGGUAGCCGGACUGAGAGGUUGAACGGCCACAUUGGGACUGAGACACGGCCCAGACUCCUACGGGAGGCAGCAGUGGGGGAUAUUGGACAAUGGGGGAAACCCUUAUCCAGCGACGCCGCGUGAGGGAAGAAGGUUUUCGGAUUGUAAACCUCUGUCAGCGGGGACGAUAAUGACGGUACCCGCGGAGGAAGCCACGGCUAACUACGUGCCAGCAGCCGCGGUAAUACGUAGGUGGCAAGCGUUGUCCGGAAUUACUGGGUGUAAAGGGAGCGUAGGCGGGGUGACAAGUCAGAAGUGAAAAUUAUGGGCUCAACUCAUAACCUGCUUUUGAAACUGUCGCUCUUGAGUGAAGUAGAGGCAAGCGGAAUUCCUAGUGUAGCGGUGAAAUGCGUAGAUAUUAGGAGGAACACCAGUGGCGAAGGCGGCUUGCUGGGCUUUUACUGACGCUGAGGCUCGAAAGCGUGGGGAGCAAACAGGAUUAGAU
rnacentral:rRNA from 1 species